GGCCGCAAGGUUAAAACUCAAAUGAAUUGACGGGGGCCCGCACAAGCGGUGGAGCAUGUGGUUUAAUUCGAUGCAACGCGAAGAACCUUACCUGGUCUUGACAUCCACAGAACUUUCCAGAGAUGGACUGGUGCCUUCGGGAACUGUGAGACAGGUGCUGCAUGGCUGUCGUCAGCUCGUGUUGUGAAAUGUUGGGUUAAGUCCCGCAACGAGCGCAACCCUUAUCCUUUGUUGCCAGCGAUUAGGUCGGGAACUCA
rnacentral:rRNA from 4 species